rnacentral:rRNA from 3 species
CAGCCGCCGCGGUAAAACCAGCACCUCAAGUGGUCAGGAUGAUUAUUGGGCCUAAAGCAUCCGUAGCCGGCUCUGUAAGUUUUCGGUUAAAUCUGUACGCUCAACGUACAGGCUGCCGGGAAUACUGCAAAGCUAGGGAGUGGGAGAAGUAGACGGUACUCGGUAGGAAGUGGUAAAAUGCUUUGAUCUAUCGAUGACCACCUGUGGCGAAGGCGGUCUACUAGAACACGUCCGACGGUGAGGGAUGAAAGCUGGGGGAGCAAACCGGAUUAGAUACCCGGGUAGUCCCAGCUGUAAACUAUGCAAACUCAGUGAUGCAUUGGCUUGUGGCCAAUGCAGUGCUGCAGGGAAGCCGUUAAGUUUGCCGCCUGGGAAGUACGUACGCAAGUAUGAAACUUAAAGGAAUUGGCGGGGGAGCAC